CCUACGGGUGGCAGCAGUGGGGGAUAUUGCACAAUGGGGGAAACCCUGAUGCAGCGACGCCGCGUGAGUGAAGAAGUAUUUCGGUAUGUAAAGCUCUAUUAGCAGGGAAGAAAAUGACAGUAUCUGACCAAGAAGCCCCGGCUAACUACGUGCCAGCAGCCGCGGUAAUACGUAGGGGGCAAGCGUUAUCCGGAUUUACUGGGUGUAAAGGGAGCGUAGGCGGGUAUGCAAGUCUGGAGUGAAAGCCCAGGGCCCAACCACGGGACUGCUUUUGAAACUGUUUAACUGGAGUACAGGAGGGGUAGGCGGAAUUCCUGGUGUAGGGGUGAAAUGCGUAGAGAUCAAGAGGAACACCGGCGGCGAAGGCGGCCUGCUGGACUGAAACUGACGUUGAGGCUCGAAAGCGUGGGGAGCAAACAGGAUUAGAUACCCGAGUAGUC
rnacentral:rRNA from 1 species